rnacentral:rRNA from 1 species
GACGAACGCUGGCGGCGUGCUUAACACAUGCAAGUCGAACGAUGAAGCCGGAGCUUGCUCCGGUGGAUUAGUGGCGAACGGGUGAGUAACACGUGAGCAAUCUGCCCUUGACUCUGGGAUAACUGCGGGAAACUGCAGCUAAUACCGGAUACGACACCUUGGGGCAUCCCAGGGUCUGGAAAGAAUUUCGGUGAAGGAUGAGCUCGCGGCCUAUCAGCUAGUUGGUGAGGUAAUGGCUCACCAAGGCGACGACGGGUAGCCGGCCUGAGAGGGUGACCGGCCACACUGGGACUGAGACACGGCCCAGACUCCUACGGGAGGCAGCAGUGGGGAAUAUUGCACAAUGGGCGAAAGCCUGAUGCAGCAACGCCGCGUGAGGGAUGAAGGCCUUCGGGUUGUAAACCUCUUUUAGUAGGGAAGAAGCGCAAGUGACGGUACCUACAGAAAAAGCACCGGCUAACUACGUGCCAGCCGCCGCGGUAA